GACGAACGCUGGCGGCGUGCCUAAUACAUGCAAGUCGAGCGGAAUGAUGAAGAAGCUUGCUUCUUCUGAUUUUAGCGGCGGACGGGUGAGUAACACGUGGGCAACCUACCUUGUAGAUUGGGAUAACUCCGGGAAACCGGGGCUAAUACCGAAUAAUCCAUUUUGCUUCAUGGCGAGAUGUUGAAAGACGGUUUCGGCUGUCACUAUAAGAUGGGCCCGCGGCGCAUUAGCUAGUUGGUAGGGUAAUGGCCUACCAAGGCGACGAUGCGUAGCCGACCUGAGAGGGUGAUCGGCCACACUGGGACUGAGACACGGCCCAGACUCCUACGGGAGGCAGCAGUAGGGAAUCUUCCACAAUGGACGAAAAUCUGAUGGAGCAACGCCGCGUGAGUGAAGAAGGUUUUCGGAUCGUAAAACUCUGUUGUAAGGGAAGAACACGUACGAGAGUAACUGCUCGUACCUUGACGGUACCUUAUUAGAAAGCCACGGCUAACUACGUG
rnacentral:rRNA from 1 species